CCGAGCCAUUUCCCCGACGCUGCCCUUCACUCUUCUCCGAUCGCGUGCCCUAACCAGCGCCGCGGCAGUUCCCAUCUCCUUGCAAUUCAAGCCGUGGUCGCGGGUUGCAUCUCCUUCUUCCCUUUCCUUCUUCACGCCGUCCCUGUGCCCUUCUCCCCUUCCGUGACACCGAAGCCACCAUCGCUGGUUUCGCCGUGCCCUAGCCGGCCGAUGCCAUCUCCUUCCUUUUCUCCUUUGCCGACGCCGGCGACCCAAUCUCUGCCCUAGUUGAGAGCCACCGUCGACCACUCGGAGCUCUAGUCCUUGCCGUGGAGUUCCUAGCGCCGGCUGCUACUUUUUUGUGCCCUAACCCGACGCCAGCCACUCGAGAAGCGCCGACCACCUCGAUUCCGGCACCCGCGUACCACUGUUGGUUCCACUGUGCCCUAGCCGACACUUGCUCCCGAGCCACUCCGACCACCACCGACUGUUGAUCGAGCAGCACUGCUACAAUCCUUUCCGGCACCUCUAUCCUUCCGAGCAGUGCAGAGCUUGGAUAUUCUUCUCUGUUAUUGAUCAAUCCUUCCUUGUGGUGGAUCAACAAACACAACUAUGAGUUAGUGAACGGUCUGAAGUUGCUGGAUUUCGGUCUUUCCGUUGUGAAUCGAGUCUGUUGCCAUCACAGACGACUGAAGGAGAGUUAGAGGACUUUGAUUCGAGACGAGCAUCUCGACACCCGAGUUGGACCAUUU